rnacentral:sRNA from 1 species
UGUGGCCUGAAGGGCCUGGGACACGC